rnacentral:lncRNA from 1 species
GCACCAAUACAAACCUGGUGUGUGGACAUAUGCAAUCCCAGCACUUGGGAGGUGGUGGCAGGAGGCUAAGGUCAUUGUCCGCCACAUAGUGAGUUGGAGGAUAGCCUGGGUUACAUGAGACCCUGCCUCAAAAACAAAAACAAAUAAAAACCGGUGGUCUUCAGGUUGUCACAGUGCAGUGAACUUGGUCAAGGCAGUGAAUUUUCAUGACAUAAAUCUUGAAAAUAUUUGUCAAGAUGAAACGUGGAAGGGUGGUGCAGAUGCCUGGUCUUUGCUCGUAGACAAGGUCACGGUGGCAGUCCAGUCAGUGUGCAAAUAAAAGCCAGAAGUCCUGCUCUGGGUGGAAGGUCAAACCUUCCUUCCCAUGGAGUCCAGACUACAGGUGUUAGAAGCAGAUUCGGGGACUCUGUUGGAAUGUCCCCUAGCCAUUUGUAUGUCCUUACUGUCCCCUGAUGUAAGAAUACAGGUGAAGAAGAGAUUUCCAAGAAGAGCUUGUAGCCCCGGCCUAGCCUAAGCCAUCUAGAUGCUGUCCAAGUGGUCAGCACCAUAUGACCCAGGGACCACAAUCUCCAGGGCUAAGCUACGGGGAGGGGUGGCCAGAGGAGUCCCUGCCUCCUGCUUGGGGGUGUGGGGGAAAUGUUGGGGACAAGGACUGGGGGUAUCAGAAAGGCUGUAAGCCAUGCUUACCAAAUCACGUAGGCCAGGGACUGUCUGAGCAGCGCACAGUGCUGGAAGGUGUGUGCGUGGAGGAGGUCUUCCAUGGUCCCCAGCCAAUUCCUGCCCCACCUAACCUCACUUGCCCACUGUGGCUGCUUGAUUCCUGCCCUUUCUCUGCCCUCCCUGCAACUCCUUCAGUAACACAGCCUGCCAAAUUUUAUACAUGUGUUGGCAAGUGAAAAACAAAACUUGGGAAAUAAAGUGGAUAAUGCCAA